GACGAACCGUGCGAACGUUAUUCGGAAUCACUGGGCUUAAAGGGCGCGUAGGCGGGCCGCCAGGUCCGGGGUGAAAGCCUCCAGCUCAACUGGAGAAGUGCCUUGGAUACCGGCGGCCUCGAGGGAGGCAGGGGCGUGCGGAACUUCGGGUGGAGCGGUGAAAUGCGUAGAUAUCCGAAGGAACACCGGUGGCGAAAGCGGCGCGCUGGACCUCUUCUGACGCUGAGGCGCGAAAGCCAGGGGAGCAAACGGGG
rnacentral:rRNA from 1 species